UCCUGUGAUGCUAAUUAAACAUCAAUUUGGAUUUAAGUUUGAAUUAUUUGGUUACUCCUGCCUGAUAACACUUUUGCCUGUAUCAGAAACCACUAAUAAAGUAAUUUUAUUAAAUAAAGGCUCCUUCAUUUUAAUUUUAAGUAUAAAAUAAAUACUUUGAUUAAACAUAUCAAUUAAGUAAUCAAAAAAAAAGGAUAGGAAGUGAUGUAAUGGGUUGGGGAGCUUAAAUAGGGAGAUUGUGAGCUUAGCUAUCAUUUCACUAUUGGAUCCCUAUGCAUGCAGACCUAUAGGACUAUUGCUGGAAAACAAAAGGGGAUUGAUCACAUCCAGUCCAUAGGUGGAUUCUUGUGUUAUACAGACAUAUAGAAAAACUGCGGAACACCCCUGAAGAAGUCGCUAUAAGACGAAACGCUUGGAUGAAAGCUCUUUUAUUUAUUAUUUUUUUACAUAAACAACGUUGAAACAAACAAUUGUAUUUUCAAUGUAAAAGAAAUGUUUAUUACCAAUCCUUUUUAAUGCAAAUGUGAAUUUGAACUAUAUUGUUCUAACAAUAAAAAGAUGUAUGUGUUUUAAAUAUGGGUGUUUAUAUGUGUAAGGUCAUCCUCUCUUUAUAAACUAUCCGGUAAAAAUGAUCUAAUCAUAUCAGUUUAUAAAAUAAGUGUGCUCCACAGAGAUAUCUUUUUUUAUCUCUAAUGUAUAUUGAUCUUUGUCGACCAGGGAUCCGCUCUGUGAUGAAGCCUGCCUUUUUUGAAAUAUAGUAGUAUUGAUUUUUAUUAAUUUAGAAUCUACUAACUGAUAUAAAGUAAACAAAACUUCAGUAGUUAUAUACUAAGAGCGCUUUAAGGAAUUACACUAUUUUAUAUAUAUAUAUAUGAAAAACGAAAGUGGUCAAUGCGCUACUUUCCCUCUGUCUACAGUAAAUAUAUAAUAAGUCUUUCUUGUAGUCUGUUAACUUUAGCACACGGACUCCACAGGUGGUCCUAUGGAUGGCAGCUCAGUCCUUCGAAGGGCCACUAGGUUUUAGU